rnacentral:tRNA from 1 species
AAGACUUUAAGUUAAAAACAAACUAAUAUCCUUCAAAGCUAUAAAUAAAGAGAGAGAGAGCAUCUUUAAGUCUUA